CUCUGAGACCUUCUCGGCGUUUGUCCGAGGGCUCUCCACACAGCUCGAAAGAAUAAACUUUCCGCCAUUGGUAUCACAUUGAGACGCUGUUUUCCAUUCUUGGACCGAGCGAUUCUGUUUGCUGCAGCCGAGCUUUGGCUGAAAGGACUUCUAGAUCUUUACGGAACAGAAUAUUUUCUGUGUCCUUCCCUGCUCUGCUCAUGCCUACCACAGGAAUAGGACUUCCUAAUAAUUUGCUGAAAGAAUUAAAGAAUAAGCCAGACCUGAGAUAGACCAGUACCUCCAGUACCUCCAGUAAAUGAAAUAGAAGAGGACUCCAUAUAACCCUGUAUUAAGAGGAAUGGAGAUUGCCUCUGUCCACUUAGAUUCAUAAGCUGUCCCGAAGUGAUCUUGGCCUCAGGGAAGGGAGUGUUCAGGCACAUUUCACCAUCAGCAUCACGGGAUGGCAGCCAUUGACUUGUCCCAUGGCCUUCUUCCUAGAGAGCCUAUCUACGUCUACGAAGCAAACAUAGAGGUAGAAGGAACGGUGACUGACAACCAGGCAAACUGUUACCAGGAUUCAGUGACCUUCGAUGAUGUGGCUGUGGAGUUCACCCCGGAUGAGUGGACUUUACUGGACCUGACUCAGAAAAAUCUAUACCGAGAGGUGAUGCUGGAGAACUACGAGAACUUGACUUCAGUAGGAUGUCAGUUCUUCAUUCCUAGUCUGACUCCCUGGCUAAAACAAGAAGAGUUAGGGGUGGCAGAAAGUGCUCUCCCUCAGC
rnacentral:lncRNA from 1 species